GGCGCCGCGGGCGCCGUGCGGGAGGUGCAGCCGCCUUCUAGAGGUGGCCGGUGCCGUUCCACACCCCCGGCACCA
rnacentral:tRNA from 5 species